rnacentral:rRNA from 1 species
GUGCCAGCCGCCGCGGUAAUACGUAGGGCGCAAGCGUUGUCCGGAAUUAUUGGGCGUAAAGAGCUCGUAGGCGGCUUGUCGCGUCUGUUGUGAAAGCCCGGGGCUUAACCCCGGGUCUGCAGUGGAUACGGGCAGGCUAGAGGCAGGUAGGGGAGAACGGAAUUCCCGGUGUAGCGGUGAAAUGCGCAGAUAUCGGGAGGAACACCGGUGGCGAAGGCGGUUCUCUGGGCCUGUACUGACGCUGAGGAGCGAAAGCGUGGGGAGCGAACAGGAUUAGAUACCCUCGUAGUCC